UAUGGAUGCCGACCUCAGCCUGGCCCGUGACCCGUAACUUUGUUGGAAAGCAUCCCUGAAACUAUGAGGGCUCCCCUGGUUUUUAUCAUUACUUUAAGUCUCGUGCCGUCGCGGAUUAUGCCAAGAAACCAUUCUACUUCUUUUAAACCAGGGAACCCCCGGACCUUCGAUCCCCUUUAACCGAGAAGAAUCUCCUGAGAUCGAUCCAUGGAGGCAGAGCAAGCCAAGGGUAGAGAAACGAGCUACGGUUGUGCUGCUGCUAAAAUCUAGAAGAAUCGACAGAUUGAUGGGAAUCUUUAGGGCCAAACUUUUGGCUGUGGCAGAAGAACUUGGUCAUGAGAUACGCAUAUUCACAAACUCAGCAAAUUCUGCAGCAUCGAAAGAAAUAUCUGCUUCUUCAAGUGAGGAACCGGACCAUUUCUAUGAUCUUACUCCUGAAGAUUAUUAUCGAAUCAUGUCAGACAGAAUACGAGCCCAAUCCCAAAUUCUAAAGACCCGUAAAAUGCGGGAAGCAGAGGCAGCAGCCCGCAGGGCAAGGAUCACUAAGGUACUUGUCCAUACAAGGACUUGUAAAAGAUGAGUAUCCCAAUUAUGUUUCUUCUUUCUUUCUUUGUCAAUUAACACUAGCUUAUACUGCCUAACUUUUGUCAUAUUUUCCUGAAAUUUAUAUUGCUUCUCCAGCUCAUUUCUGCAUGUGCCUUUUGUUUCCCAGGAUUUUGUAUCUUUUAAAACAUAAAUACACCCUUAUUAAUAAAAAGGGCUAGCUUUAUAAAUGGCAUCCUCGUCAACAUAAUCAUGCACUGGAAAUCGAGACUUUGUAUUCAAGAUGAUUUCAGAUGUUUAGCCCUUGAAUAAUGAGUCUUGUUAAGAAAAGUGGUGGUGGACUGAAGUAUUCGAUAUGGAAUAUCAAGUUUAUAUAACAACUUUAAUUGCUCGGUAUGAGGAUGAAAAUGAACAAAGGGACCUUUGGAGCCAAUGCCAGGUGAAUAUUUUUAGUGAAGUUGCUCAAUCCUACUUAUUGGAGAAGUGAAACAGAUGACUGAUUUAAUAGAACAUAACAACAAAAGGAGAAUGAAUUUUAAGAAUACGAUCACAGAACAGUUGUGAACUCUGAGGAAGAUUCAUUUGAAUCAAAAGUCUUGAAUAUGUCUUAUAUUUAUGAAGCUACUUAUUUUCUAUCUUCAUACUCAUUGUAGAUUGUCAGAAACAUAAUUUGAGAUGGAGAACAAUUAAAGAGGAAGUGUUUUGAAUGGAAGAUCAAUGUCUUUAGCAUCAAUAGAUACCGCAACAAUCACCCCCACUCUACAGGCCUUCGGGACUUCUGAAUGAUUUUGAAGCAUGGAGCAAAGCUAUCUAAAUCAAUUACUAGGUUUGCAUACAGCCUUCGUAUGCCUCAUGUGAACUUGAAAUUUGUUGCAAUUCAUAUAAAAAUGCAUCAGAAUCGAGUUUUGCUAUUUCUAGAUGGCAGUAACAAACAACUCUCUGUAGAUUAAUUUUAUGAGAUGGGGAUUAUUGAAAUAAGUGACAUCACUAGGGCUAAUAUGUUUGUUCCACUUGAUAAUGAUGGAGGCGUAUAAAUUGUGCUUUUUAGAAAUUUUUUUACAAGAAAAGUUUUCCACUAUUUGUACGUGUAUCUUUUCUAUAUAUCCUCUCAAAAAUGCUUAUUUGCAUGUUUGUUGCUUGAAAACUCGAAAUUCCAUUUAUAUCACAAAAUGAUGAAAAACAUGCAAAUCUGCACUUCUAGUUAACUUGUGUGCAGUUCUACUUAACUUCGAUGCAAUGAUGGUUCGAAACUUAAUGGUAAGUGGCUAUUUGACUAUUUUACCCUUCAAUAAUUAGAGAGUUUUUCCCCCACUUAUGAAGUCUAUAUAGGCUAUAAGAAAAUAUGAUGCCGCCUUUGGCCCCCGCUUUACUUGCAGACUCCACUGUGACAUUUUCAACAUUAGCAGCCUUCAAUUGACACUUGCAACAUUGGGGGCCUCCUUUGUGUGAUUGAGCUUGAUUUUGACUUGGCUGGCUACUCCGACUCCCUUUCUCCCUCAGUUCGGGCCCUCUCUUUUGUUGAGCCCCUCAACCAACAACUGCCUUGCCGACCUUGCACCCCCAACCAUUCCCUACCGGUCUCGCCCAUGUCUCCAUCAUUAUCCUCUCUCACGAUGCCUCCUCCAAUGAGAUCCCCAUCCUUGCCCUUUGCCUCUGCCCUCAAGGAACUCUAUAACAACUUCCUCUUCGACCUGAGCUCACCAUGCUCGACAGCGCUCCUUGCUCUAGUGGUCGGAGCUCCAAUUGAACAACCUCACUAGCAAGAUCUUAGGUCUAGGACCCUUCCGAAAUCUCUACUUCUUCAGUGCUAGUGAUGAGAACCUCUCUGAUGGGCUCUUGGUUGAAAAAUUGCCAGCAUAAAUGGUGAAGAUCUUGCUAGAGCAAUCAUUUGGAGGGCAAUGUCUUGGUGGUGGUGGUGGUGGUGGUGCUCCAGGAGAUGGAUCUUAGCCACAAGGCACUGUGGGGUCAGUGAUGAGGUCUGCAUUUGAGCACACCUGUUGAUGGAGCAGCUAAGCCUAGCCUACAAUUGAUUCGAGUUGGUUCAACAUCUAGGGGAUAGCAGUCUGGAAAGCUAGCUCUUCGUGCUGGACUGACCACAACCAGUUUGGUUAAAUAGUUUUUUCCCCACUUAUCUAGUGAUGUGGAUUGUAUAGAAGUCAUUUUGCACCAACAAUUAUGUUUUAGACCAUGUUAAUUAACUAAAUAGAUCAUAUGCUAAUAGCAAGGCAGAUUUGCAAAUUUGGAUCAUUUGGCAUAUUUCCUUCUAGAUGGUGGACUUGGUUUGCCAAUGUGUAAUUUAUGAUUUUUCAAAUUAAUUUUCUUUCUAUUUAUGUUUGUGUAGGCUGUAAUUAGGGUUCGCUUCCCUGAUAAUUACAUUCUUGAGGCAAAGUUUCAACCAUCGGAGAAAAUUGAAAGCUUGAUGCAUCUUCUCAUGAAAGUUGUUGCUCGACCAGACCUCCCAUUCUAUUUAUAUACCACUCCUCCAAAGGAGCGAAUCAAAGACACUUCAAAGGAUUUCUAUUCAGCCGGCUUUGCUCCUGGAGCUAUAGUUUACUUUUCUUAUGACCUGCCAAAAGAUAAAGAGUCUGAUAGUGCAGUUGCAAAGACAGGGCCUUACCUUCGUGAUGAUAUCUUGUCUUUGAAUGGAUUGGAUUUUACUUCUGAAAAGGCGGAUCCUGUCACUUCUGAACCAGAACCUCCAGCAGUGGGGACGUCCCCUGCUGUACCUGAUCCUAAGCCACCUGAGAAGAAGCCGGCUAAACCAAAGUGGCUUAAAUUGUGAAAGAUUGAAAGGUGAGGUGAUCCUGGAUGUGACGAGGAAUUGAUUUAACUGUGACUGAUGUAGAGUUGGUUCCAAAAGGUAACAAAGAAUUGGUACUUCAGGGCAAUGUAUAUUAAGAGAUGACAAAAAUCAAGGUAUAUUACGAGUUUCCAUCUAAAUUCACCGUCAUGGGUGGUGCUGCACUUAAACAAGUUCAGGAGGAACUUUCGCAGGGUGCUUGCUUCAGAAUAAUCUUACAACACGACUCAUUUAAUGUUGUAUGGAUGAACUGUAAUUUUACAAGAAGAUGUCUUAGGACUUAAUCUGUUCCUAGUGGAAAAUGCUUCUCCUUGUCAUUUUGUUCCUAUGCCGAUAUUAUGCAAGCUAGAUUCUCAAGGAUGCUGAAUCUUUUAACAUGUUUCACUAGUUAUUGUGCUAAAAAAUGUUCAAAUGUUGAAAAUAAAGCAAAAAUAUUUGAAAUCCUGUCAGAGAAUGAGAAUAAGUGUGGAUUAUGUGCACAUAUUGGAUCUCAGCAUUUGAAAAGGAUGAUUUUUAAGGAUUUUCAUUGUUUAUGCUAUCUCCUUGUACCGUUGUUUUUUUUUUUUUCCUUUUCUUGAUUUGUUUUUAAACCUUACAUUCGGCUGUUUUUUCAUGGCCCCUUGUUUGAUAUGAACUCUCCUUAAAAGCAAGCUGAAUGCACUCAUUGAAGACCAAUCUCUUUAUUGUCUCGUUGUUCGCAAUUCUUUUACCUUGUUAUAAGCAGUUCAUAACUUGAAUCUAUUGAACAUUUUCUGCAGUUUGAUGUUUAGUUACCUUUAAAUGAUUCCUGAUGGUUAGUCACCCAGCAAGCUUGUCGGGUCUAUGUGAUGCUGGCGUGUUGCGAUUGAACUAAUCUUUGUUUUACAUCAAUUCUACUAGGUUGCAUCAAUCUGCCCCUGCACGCUGGCAGGAGGAACUUCUUGCAUGGCAGAUGCAUUACUCAAAUUAGAAUGGCAGAUGCAUGCAACAUGAAACAUUAAUGUCGCAGGGACAAAAUCAUUUCCAAUUGGUCUCAGCUUCAUUUCUUGAAUACUUAUGAGCUUGCAAAGAUGUGAUUCGGCCUGAGCUGAGCCAACAUGCCUCGUAUUCUGUUUUUGGGGGCUAGCUUGAAUAUUCUCAGCAUGGCCAACUAUCCACAACGUGCUCUAGUUUUAGGUCCAGGUGCACUAGCAUCCUUGAUUGCACUAGUAACUGGAUUGGAUAUAAAAUAUGGUUUGUGUUA